AGUGAACGCUGGCGGUAGGCCUAACACAUGCAAGUCGAACGGCAGCACAGUAAGAGCUUGCCCUUACGGGUGGCGAGUGGCGGACGGGUGAGGAAUGCAUCGGAAUCUACUUUUUCGUGGGGGAUAACGUAGGGAAACUUACGCUAAUACCGCAUACGACCUACGGGUGAAAGCAGGGGAUCUUCGGACCUUGCGCGAUUGAAUGAGCCGAUGUCGGAUUAGCUAGUUGGCGGGGUAAAGGCCCACCAAGGCGACGAUCCGUAGCUGGUCUGAGAGGAUGAUCAGCCACACUGGAACUGAGACACGGUCCAGACUCCUACGGGAGGCAGCAGUGGGGAAUAUUGGACAAUGGGCGCAAGCCUGAUCCAGCCAUACCGCGUGGGUGAAGAAGGCCUUCGGGUUGUAAAGCCCUUUUGUUGGGAAAGAAAAGCAGCAGGUUAAUACCCCGCUGUUCUGACGGUACCCAAAGAAUAAGCACCGGCUAACUUCGUG
rnacentral:rRNA from 1 species